rnacentral:ncRNA from 1 species
UUGAAGUCGCCAAGGACAAUUAAAUUGUUUACCUUCGGCACAGUCGCCAGCAGGGCUUGCAGGUCCUCGUAGAAUUUGUCCUUCAUCGCACAAGAGCUCGUCCUAGGGGGAGCGUAGGCGCUGAUGAUGGUGGUGAACUGGUCUCCCCGAAGAGGCACGCGGAGGCUCACCAGGCGAUCAUUGAUCCCCUGCGACAGACAGGGCAGACGUCCCACGAUGUCGUUCCGGAUGGCAAAGGCAACACCAGCGUCGCGUCGCUCUGUCCUUGAUACCCUGCGGCAGACAGGGCAGACGUCCAACAAUGUCGUUACGGAUGGCAAAGGCAACACCAGCGUCGCGUCGCUCUGCCUUUGUAGACGUCCCACGAUGUCGUUCCGGAUGGCAAAGGCAACACCAGCGUCGCGUCGCUCUGCCUUUGGCCGGCCACUCCAGAAGAAGGUGUAGCCGGUACCCACCUCCUCCAGCUGGCCCUGCUCAGAUAAUCGGGUCUCGCUGAGAAUAAUAAAUAGUGCAUAGCCCAAUGCUUCGUCAUCUAAUAAGUGACGUGCAUGAAUGGAUUAACGAGAUUUCAACUGUCCCUCUCUACUAUCCAGCGAAACCACAGCCAAGGGAACGGGCUUGGCAGCAUCAGUGGGGCAAGAAGAACUUUUUGAGCUUGACCCUAGUCCAACUCUGUGAAGAGACAUGGCAGGUGUAGUUAUAAGUUGGAGGCGGGAAUCGCCCUUCGGGGUCUCUCUUUCGACCAGGAAAGACCACUCUCAGAAUGGUUUCUUUACUUUUUCAGUUCAGCGGGAACUGUCAAUUAUUUUCCAUGUUGACAUUAAG